rnacentral:rRNA from 1 species
GAAGCUAAAGGAUUUAUUCACUUCCCGAGGGGCUCGCGGCCCAUCAGCUUGUUGGUGAGGGUAACGGCCCACCAAUGCGACAACGGGUAGCUGGUCUGAGAGGAUGGUCAGCCACACUGGAACUGAGACACGGUCCAGACACCUACGGGUGGCAGCAGUCGAGAAUCAUUCGCAAUGGGGGAAACCCUGACGAUGCGACGCCGCGUGGAGGAUGAAGGCCUUAGGGUUGUAAACUCCUGUCAAGAGGGAAUAAGCAAGUGAAGGUACCUCUAGAGGAAGGGGCGGCUAAUUCCGUGCCAGCAGCCGCGGUAACACGGAAGCCCCGAGCGUUGUUCGGAUUCAUUGGGCGUAAAGGGUGCGUAGGCGGCGCGGAAAGUCCGGCGUGAAAGGCAGGGGCUCAACCUCUGGACUGCGUUGGAUACUUCCGUGCUUGAGGACUGGAGGGGAGACUGGAAUUCACGGUGUAGCAGUGAAAUGCGUAGAUAUCGUGAGGAAGACCGGUGGCGAAGGCGAGUCUCUGGACAGAUCCUGACGCUGAGGCACGAAGGCUGGGGGAGCGAACAGGAUUAGAUAGCCUGGUAGUCCCAGCAGUAAACGAUGUGAGCUUGAUGUGAGGGGAUCCGAGCCCUUCCGUGUCGAAGCUAACGCGAUAAGCUCAGCGUCCUGAGGAGUACGGCCGCAAGGCUAAAACUCAAAGAAAUUGACGGGGACCCGCACAAGCGGUUGAGUAUGUGGCUUAAUUCGAUGCUACGCGAAGAACCGUACCUGGCCUUGACAUGCAUUGUGUCGUCGGUGAAAGCCGGCUAGUCCUGGAUACAGGGACGCUUUGCACAGGUGCUGCAUGUCUGUCGUCAGCUCGUGUCGUGAGAUGUUGGGUUAAGUCCCGCAACGAGCGCAACCCUUGUGGUCAGUUACUAACCGGCUUAGCCGGAGGACUCUGGCCAGAC